rnacentral:rRNA from 1 species
GACGAACGCUGGCGGCGUGCCUAAUACAUGCAAGUCGAACGCUAGAGGAGGAGCUUGCUUCUCUUGAUGAGUUGCGAACGGGUGAGUAACGCGUAGGUAACCUGCCCUGUAGCGGGGGGUAACUAUUGGAAACGAUAGCUAAUACCGCAUAAGAGUAGAUGUUGCAUUACAUUUACUUAAAAGUUGCAAUUUCCUCACUACCAGAUGGACCUGCGUUGUAUUAGCUAGUUGGUGGGGUAACGGCUCACCAAGGCGACGAUACAUAGCCGACCUGAGAGGGGGGUCCGCCAAACUGGGAAUGGGACAAGGCCCAGAAUUCUACGGGAGGGCGCAGGAGGGAAACUUCGGCAAAGGACGGAAGUCUGGACGAGCCAAGCCGGGGGAGGGAAGAAGGUUGUCGGAUUGGUAAGCCCUUUUUGUAGGGAAGAAAGAGUGUCAGAGUAGAAAGUUCACACUGUGACGGUACCUAACCAGAAAGGGACGGCUAACUACGUG